AAAAUAGUGGGAAGACUUCUAGGUAGAGG
rnacentral:piRNA from 1 species